AUCCUUUUCAACAAAAAAAUUCAGGUGGAGUAUAUUUUCUUCAAAUUUAGUAUAUUCAGACCACUAUUACUCAGUGCCAGAAGCACUUGGAGUGAUUCUUCACUGUUUUGCAAGAACAAUAAGAGAGUUGUAAUGGAUUUUUAGCACCGGGAGCUGAAAAAGGGGCUUGCUCCAUUCACUCCGCGCAUCGACCCAGUAUUGCAGCGCCUCUGGUAACAGUGCACCCUUC
rnacentral:snRNA from 1 species